rnacentral:pre_miRNA from 1 species
CUGAUUGCUGAUGGAGCAUCAUCAAGAUUCACAAGCUUCAAGGGAUUUUGUUUGGGGUGGUCCCUAAUUGCUCCCAAAUAAAUUUGCCCUUCGAUAUGGGAAUCUUGAUGAUGCUGCAGCAGCCAUAAA